UACGGAGGGUGCAAGCGUUAAUCGGAAUUAUUGGGCGUAAAGGGCGCGUAGGCGGAUUUAUAAGUCUGAUGUGAAAUACACUGGCUCAACCAGUGUGCUGCAAUAGAAACUAUAAGUCUUGAGGGUAGGCGGAGAAAACGGAAUUCCAAGUGUAGCGGUGAAAUGCGUAGAUAUUUGGAAGAACACCUGUGGCGAAAGCGGUUUUCUAGCUUAUUCCUGACGCUGAGGCGCGAGAGCAAGGGGAGCAAACAGG
rnacentral:rRNA from 1 species